rnacentral:lncRNA from 1 species
UUACUUUCCGUUUUUUCAUCUAUCGAACAAGUUCUCUUACAUAAUUCUCCACUCUUUUCAUUGUAUGCAUAAUCAGCCUUUAGACUAUCAACCUCCAAACAGGUGGCAUUCCCAGCUAUUGCUGUUUCCCUAACCAGAAUAAGAAACUAGAUGAAAAUAAAGAAACAUCAAUUCCAUCUCUUAAAAGGAAAUACAGAAAAUAAGGCAUAUUUCUCAAGUGUGCAGUGUGAGCGCACAAACACAAUCUAAAGCGCAGAGCUUUACAAAAUUUGGCUGCACAACACAGCCAAUUUCCCCAAAUGCUGCACAGCUAAAGCCACACCCUACAUCCCGUCAAAUUCUGUUGAACAAGCUUUGAGCAGAAAAAGUUGAAUCAUCUUCUAGGAACAUAUGACAAUAACUGCAUUUAGUCUUAGGUAACAUUGUUGCUUUAUGAAUGUUGAAUUGUGUAUACCGCCUCAUCUAGAAGCUUAACCUGUUAGAGAGAGGACAUCUUUACUUUUUUCAAUUAGGCCUGCAACACGGCCACUGACUUGUAGAUUUGAUUCUUUUUCUUAGACCAAGCACCUAAAGAUUAUUUUUUAUUUAUUAGAGGCGGUCAGACUCGAACCAGUUCCUUCGCUUGCUCUAAAGUAUUGAAUUGUGUGUACCGCCUCUUUAAAAGCGAAAAAUUAUUAGAGAUGGGACAUUUUUAUGUAUCUAUUUAUGUAAGAAACAAUGAUCAACAAUGAAUAAAUUCUCGUUAAACAUAAUUUCAAGUUACAUCUAGUAUCAUUUGCUAAAUAACUUUAAUGUCACCCGACUUGAAGGUCAAUUAUAAUCCACUCCAGCAACUACAUUGUCUAGUGAUCAGACUGUAGAAAUUUAAUGAGGAGCUAAACAAACAAUCCAACAACAGACUAAAGUAUUCGCUUCAUAAAACUUAGUGCUAUAGUCAGAGUGGAAACGUUACACAUUGUAGAUUCUAGUUCAUUAAGGUAAAGCAGCUGCUAGGGAAAGACCUUAAUUGACUAUCACUCAAUUAGCCCUCAAACCCAAACUACUUCGUCCGUCCCAUUUCAUAUAAUGUUGUUUGAAUGCACACGGAGUUUAAGAAGGAAAGAUUGACUUUUGAAACUUUUGGUAUAAAACAAGUCAUAGACAUUUGUGUGGCCAUAAAUCAUCUCAUUAGGGGUAAACUGAAAGCUCAAAUGCUAAAUUGUUUCUAGAUACAUAAAUGUAUCAUUCUUUUUUAGUACAGACUAAAAAAGAAAGUAUAUUACAUAAACUAGGAUAGAUGGAGUAGUAAGGCUCGGCUAUAUGAAUCCUCUAUAUCCGUCUGUAUACAUACUUUCCAUUUAAACAAUAAAUCCCCAGGGACACGGUUCAAAAAUGAAUAGAUAGUCGGCCCACUUUUCUAUCCUUCUACGCUUAAAUACCAGGCUUUUUGUCUAUGACAGGGUUCGAAACACAACACAUGAUGUGCUCUGAUCGCUAGACUAAAGCACCAGAGCAAAUCCUAAAGUUCCAAAUUAGCAUAAACAGCUAUUUAAGUUCUUCAAAAGUAUAAUGUUUCUUAGUUAAUAAGCAGAUUACAAUAACCAUUCCAUAAUCCAAAUUGGGAAAGACAAAACUACAAAUAACCCAAAUACCACUGAAUAAAUCCAACAAAUAAAUACUUAGUUACCCAAAAACUCGCUAAAUAUUGAUUAUCAAUAACUAAAUAAACACAAAAAAAUAAUAAUAGAAAUUACCACAAUGAAAUCUCCAACACCAGAAAUGAUUUGAGGUUACAGAUCAAAAUGGGUGUACAAAAUUAUAAAAAAAGUCACCGAAUUUGUAAUAAACCCAAAAUAAAAACAAAAAAAAAGGACUUUUUCCCCUUAUUUGUAGGUAGUUAAUAAUAAUAUAGUAGAUUAGGUGAGUAAGGAAAGCUAAGGAUUUCCAAUCGGGAAAUAAAAAAGAAAAAAGAAAAAAACGGGUAAAGAGAAAUAUGACUGACUGUUGGGAACUGUGUGUGUUAAUGGCGGUUUCGGUUUGAGGGGCAGAUGUAAAGAGAUGGUGGAGACGGUGGGUUGGUUUUUAUUUUGUAUUAUAUUAUAUAAUAUUAUUUUUUAUUAAUAUAAUAUGGUGUUUCUAAGUAUUAUUAAUAAAAGAAAAAAGUAAUACUGUUAUCACGAAAUUAUGUGGUUAGCGGAUGCGAUUGCUCGUUAACUAAAGUUUUUAGAUUCGAGCCCAGAUAUAAAAGUUAAUUUGAAUACAAUCGAGAUCCAAUUAUAAGUCUAAGCCUCGGAUAUAAUAGUAAAAUUAAAUAUAAUCGAAUUUUAAUUUAAAUACCUUAAAAUAUAUGUAUAUAUAUAUUACUGUUAUAAUUACUGUUUGCGUGGUUCAAUAAACCACCUCUGAGGGAAUGUAUUGUUUAUUUGUUUGCUUUGAAGAGAAGAUAUCUAUCUAUAUUACACAUCUAACAAGGAAGAAAUUG